CUCCAAGUAAACCUUGUGUUUGUCAGAGUUAACUUCUUCACCGUAUGUACCAGUUCGGAGAACGUUGAUGGAAGGUGAAGUGCUUUAUUCAUGAAAAGAACAUCAUUCAACAAUUUCAAAUGUUCCAGACACUGUAGCUCUUUAAGAUUGUUGAUACCACCCUUGUAAGCACCAAGAAAAGCCGCCAUUUGCCCUCGAAUGCUCAAUUUUUUCACAUUACACGCCUUUGCUAGCACUUCUUUCUCACAACUUUCUGGUGUAACCAUAGAAAGAGUUUGUAGACAAGAAGGUUUACCUGUCGUGGUAGUCGGGGAUGGCAAUUUUGCAGG
rnacentral:misc_RNA from 1 species